rnacentral:lncRNA from 10 species
UCUAAGGUUUCAGUUGGAAGCAGAGGAUUGGAGCAAAUAAGAUAAUGAGCUGCAUGAAAUUUGGAGCUUCUGGCUGAGCAUGAUGUUCUUUAUGUAAUUGCUGAGGAACCAACCAAAGAAUGGAAUUGUGAUCUGGUGUGCUAUGGUUUUGGAGGCUGGCGUAAUAGGUUUCUGUGGAAGGAAUGAGUGCUUCAUCUAGCCAUGGCUUUGAAUUACCCAGAGGGAACAGAUAAUAGCUACAGCAUUCCCGUGGUAGGCCUCUGAUGGGAGGCAGUGUCAGUUGCAUCCUCAUCUACCAGGGGAUGAGUGAUGUAAGGCGGUUCCUACUUCAUUGUGCAGAUUUCUCCAGCAGAAUGGUUGGGAAGUCGUUCACAAAGACAGUAAGAGCAUAGACUCCUACCUGCAGCAUGCUCAGAAGAAAGGUCAUGUGAGGACACAGCCAGAAGGCAGCCAUCUGCAAGCCAGGAAGAGAGGCCUCACCAGGAACCAACGCUGGCACCUUGAUCUUGGACUCCAGCCUCCAGAACAGUGAGAAAAUGAAUUUCUGUGAUUAAAGCCACCCAGCCUGUGUCACUUUGUCAUGGAAGUCUGAGCAGACUAAUAUAGCUACUAUGUCCUAAAUCUCCACCCUCCACCUUCACCUAAAGGCAUUGAGCACAGGUAUUUUACCCAAGACUUUCUUUCCGGGGUUCUCCUCAAUUAACUGCUUAAAUUAAUCUCUCUUGCAGUGUUUAUUUUCACAAAAACUUUCAAGAGAGAUUUCCAAAGAAAUAGUUUGUGACCCUGAGAAACAGGUUUGGCUUCAUCAGUGAACAGCAUGAAUUAUGAAACUGAUCCUGUUCCCCCAUUUGACAUGUUUGCUUGGGAGCUCAGAAUUAAAUUGACAGCCUAAACUUCUAGAAAGUUUACUUGCCCUUCUGUGAAACACUUUAUAUACUGUCACCACUGCUUUCACCUUAAUUUCCUUCUUGUUUUUUUCUCAUCAGUUGCUUCUUACAUUUAUUUCAUAAGUUAAUCGAUGAAUAAUACAUUCUUGUUGUAAAUAAUGAACUCAGAAGUAUACAGAACAAAACCUGAAAGCAUUCAUUUAUUAUGUCAUAGUACUCUCUCUGUAUUUGUGUAAGUAGCCUCAAAUCCAUUUGGAACAAUAUUAGGAAUAAUCAAAUUUUUUAAAACAAAUAAAAGAUACCUUUAUCUGAAAAACAAAUAAAUAGGUACCUUUGUUUGAAAGCUUACUGCCAUGCUAGGAAUGUUCAGUAUGCUUUCUCUUUUGAUUGUCACAGCAACUCUAUAAGGCAGAUUUCAUAUGCUCAUUUCACAAACUAACACAAUUGAAUGAGGUUAAGUUAGUUGUCCAAAGUCAUAGUAAGUGGUAAAGUCAGAAUAAAACUCAGAUCAAGAGUUCAAAGUUUGUGUGUUCAAUAGCAAAGUCAUGGAAUCAACCUAAAUGCCCAUCAAUGGUGGACUGGAUAAAGAAAAUGUGGUAUAUAUACACCAUGAAAUACUACACAGCCAUAAAAAAGAACGAGAUCAGGUCCUUUGCAGCAACAUGGACGAAGCUGAAGGCCAUAAUCCUAAAAGAACCAACGCAGGAACAGAAAUAACAAAUACUGCAUGUUCUCACUUAUAAGUGGCAG